UUGGAGUACAGUAGGCAAAUCCGCUGUACAAUCCGAAGACGUGAUGCGGACCGAAUUAAGAGUAGGGAAGUGUUUGAGCCAUGCGUCAAGGAAAGCCGCUAUUGUUUUACUUAAGCCCGUACCGUAAACCGACACAGGUGGAUGAGGAGAGAAUCCUAAGGCCGACGGGAGAAGCAUUGUUAAGGAACUCGGCAAAAUGACUCCGUAACUUCGGGAGAAGGAGUGCCAGCGAGAGCUGGCCGCAGAGAAUUGGCCCAAGCAACUGUUUAGCAAAAACACAGGUCUAUGCAAAACCGUAAGGUGAAGUAUAUGGGCUGACGCCUGCCCGGUGCUGGAAGGUUAAGAGGAGAGGUUAGCGGCAACGCGAAGCUUUGAAUUUAAGCCCCAGUAAACGGCGGCCGUAACAAUAACGGUCCUAAGGUAGCGAAAUUCCUUGUCGGGUAAGUUCCGACCCGCACGAAAGGCGUAAUGAUUUGGGCACUGUCUCAACAAUGCACCCGGUGAAAUUGAAAUACCAGUGAAGAUGCUGGUUACCUGCGCCAGGACGGAAAGACCCCAUGGAGCUUUACUCCAGCUUGAUACUGGGAUUCGGUAUUGCAUGUACAGGAUAGGUGGGAGGCUAGGAAGUGAUAACGCCAGUUGUCACGGAGCCGCUGUUGGGAUACCACCCUUGCAGUAUUGGAUUUCUAACCAGCGACCAUGAACUGGUCGGGGGACAAUGUCAGGUGGGGAGUUUGACUGGGGCGGUCGCCUCCGAAAGGGUAUCGGAGGCGCUCAAAGGUUCCCUCAGAAUGGACGGAAACCAUUCGAAGAGUGCAAAGGCAGAAGGGAGCUUGACUGCGACACCGACGGGUGGAGCAGGUACGAAAGUAGGACUUAGUGAUCCGGUGGUUUAAAGUGGGAUUGCCAUCGCUCAACGGAUAAAAGCUACCCUGGGAUAACAGGCUUAUCACUCCCAAGAGUUCACAUCGACGGAGUGGUUUGGCACCUCGAUGUCGGCUCAUCGCAUCCUGGGGCUGAAGUAGGUCCCAAGGGUUGGGCUGUUCGCCCAUUAAAGCGGUACGCGAGCUGGGUUCAGAACGUCGUGAGACAGUUCGGUCCCUAUCCGGCGUGGGCGUAGGAUAUUUGAGAGGAGCUGUCCUUAGUACGAGAGGACCGGGAUGGACUGGCCGCUGGUGUAUCUGUUGCAUACCAAAUGCAUGGCAGAGUAGCCAAGCCGGGACGGGAUAAACGCUGAAGGCAUCUAAGCGUGAAGCCCCCCUCAAGAUGAGAUAUCCCUACGUAAGUAGUAAGACCCCUUGAAGACGACGAGGUAGAUAGGUCAGAGGUGGAAGUACAGUAAUGUAUGGAGCUGACUGAUACUAAUCGGUCGAGGGCAUGACCU
rnacentral:rRNA from 1 species